rnacentral:lncRNA from 1 species
GCAGAAUAUCAGUACAGUAUGUCUACAGAAAGGGCUUUUGAAUCACUUGUCACAAAAUUACGCUUUAUUUAUUCUGACAAUAGAAUGUAAAUGGUGUCAGUGUCUAUUAUACUGAUAAUGGGGGUUAUGAGAUAUUUGAUUAUCAUGCAAGAGACGAAUAUGGUAGAAGCCAUCCCUCAGGUACAUGUGUACUAUGAGAAGUACCAUCUGUUCAGGGCUUAGUACAGUAUUUCCAGACUAUACACUCCCUCAGGGAUGAUUAUGAACUCAGAGGAGUGCAGAUAAGUACAUAUGAAAUAACUGCAGUGAACAGUUUGAGAGAAGAACACAACUGCUCUUGAAAAAAAUGCUCUGCUGUAGGGCUUUAUGCAAUGUGUUACUAAUUGACAAAGUCUUGUAGUUAUUAGAAUUCCAGAACCCUAUGUUGCAUAGCUGACCGAGGAAAUAAAUUAUAUCAUAACAUGAGUAUCAACAGGAAUCUAAAAAGGGAAGAUUUAUACACGAGUCUUAAUAUUUGUGGAGUUGAGAUAUCAGUCCAAAUUAAAGCUCAAAGCUAUGGGAUGUUGUCCAGUGGUUUAAACUAUAAAAAAAAAGUUGGAAAACUUAAUUUUCAACAACUACAGUUGACAUACAGGGUUUUUAUAGUGCCUUGCAAGUUACUGUUAGGUAUUACUUGUAUUUUUCAACAAACAGUCAGAGCAAAGUACAUGUUGUCCUUAUUGACCUAUGAAGAUACUUGUGAACUUGCAAUACAACAAAUGAAAACAGGUGGUAAACCAUCAUUAGAACUAGCCAUAGAUGCAAAAAGCUCUGCCUGUGACCUGGCACUGGUUAUGAAGGGACAUCCAGAUUUCACAAGAUCAUAAUACUUGACAGUCAUUUGAAAAGUCCUACACCGUCAGCUGCUGGAUAAAGGCUUUCACUCACUAAUUCAGUAACAGAAUUUUUUGAUAAACAAUAUAUGAUUUUCUGGAUUGCUUGUGGUCAUUAGAGAGGCAGACUCAAAAUCAAGCAAAAUUAGACGGCAAAAAAUGAUCAUGAAAUCUGGUUUGGUUAGGAAACAGAAUGUGCACCACUACGUGGUGACACGUAGUCUUUUGUGCCCUACAAAAAGAUCCAAAAGUAGUCCAUCUAGGAAGCUGGUUAGCAGUUUCGGCCUGAGCGGGCCUUAUCGCCGUGACGUAGCUGAUCAGCCAAUGAUCAAAAGACUAAAGGAAUAUCGAUUAUUUUUAAAGCCGGUUUUUGAGGUCAGUACUUUAAUCUAUCUUCAUUCUCCUCUACUUGUAAUACGUACACUGGCUGAUUUUAUAUCUCUUCCAAACAAAUGUAGAUAUCUUUAUUACCUCGUUAAAUUAUCUCGUGAAUUUUAUAUGAUCUUUAUAUUUUGUAUGCUACAGAUGCUUUAUUGUUUCCCUGUUCCAGUGCCUCUCUCAAAUUACUUAGAGUACUUUUUGUUUUUUAUGAAGAAACAACUGCAUUUUUCGCUUGAAAUUCUCGAUAAGCGCAAGAAGAGUGUGCUUGUUUCACUCUAUUUGGAUCUUCUAAGUGGGAUUGCUUGGGAGUUCAUUUAAACAAUGGUGGACAAGAGAAGGGUUCAAGUCGUAGGACAAAGAAAUGAAAUUGCAGAACGAAGGUUUCCUUUUUCAAUGUUGUACACAACAAAGCGGCCAAGAGUGGGGUAUCAGCGGAAUCUAAUCAGCUAGAGGUGGAAUUUGUCCAACCUUUAGAAACAAAGGCAAAUGUCUCCAACUUUGUGUCGCUUAUUGUUGCAAGAGCGACGUUUCCAUUAUGGGCAUUGCAAACCAUGCUUAUCAUUAGUAGGGGUUGAACUUGUGUGUGGAAUUUGACUGUGGAACAGGAAUAUAAAUCCCUUUGAGGUUGAAAAGUAGCACCCAAUGCCGUCAAUGAAGAUUUAAUAGAAGAAGGAAUGGUGCACAGUCGAAGAUUUUAUACCAGGGGAAAGUCAGAGCAGCGGAGAAUAUCACGUCUACCCAAAACUCCAAAGCGCCACUUCCCUAUCAAGUGAGCACAAAGGCUACAAGGUUGAUAAGUGAAUCUGGAACUAAAGAACAGCCAAGGAGUUUUUAAGGAUUGCGUGGAAGGCAGCUCUGUGUGAAUUUGAACUGUAUUCGUGGAGUUCGAGUUCUUCAGCAGGUCUUCGUUACUCUA